rnacentral:lncRNA from 1 species
UUUAGAAUUUGAUUAGAAUUUGGUCUAUAGUUUGGUUAAGAUUUGAUCUAGGAUUUUUUAAAAUUUGAUUAAGAUUUAAGAUUUGUUUAGAAUUUGGUUAGAGCUGAUUUAGGAUUUAUUUAGAAUUUAAUUAGGAUUGAUUUGAAAUUUGUUUCAAACUUGAUUAAAAUUGAUUUAGAAUUUGAUUAAAAUUUAAUCUAAGAUUUGAUUAGAAUUUAGAAUUUAUUUAAGGCUUGAUUAAAUUUGAUUUAAAAUUUUAUUAAGGCUUGGUUUAGGAUUUGGUUAGGAUUGGUUUAGAAUUUCAUUAAGAUUUGUUAAGGAUUAUAUUAGGAUUUGAUCAAGAUUGAUUUAAGAUUUCAUUAAGAUUUA